rnacentral:lncRNA from 1 species
GGAAGUGAAUACAUCUGUCUGUAUAAAUUUAGGCACUAAAGUUAUAGAGUGAAAUCAGGCAUAACGUCCCCGGGAAGGCUCGGCGUGGGCGGGUGACCUCAGUCAGGGGGCAAUGAUGGAUCAACGAGAGAAGGCGCCAAGGUGGAGAAGGGACCUCUGGACCACAGCGUAAAGGGGAAGUGAGCGGACGAGAUGAAACUCCAAGAGCAGGACAGACAGAGGCGUCCUCCGAGAGGCAUAGGAUGCAGGAUCCAGCAGGGGGAACUGUGUAGCCGCCCCUGACACAGGAAGGGUUAAUAAUCACUGGAAAAAGCUUGCCAACAAACUGUGACCUGGAGGUGAGAAGGCGGGUUAGCCAAUGACAGCAUGAUAAUGAAGCCUGGAUGCAGGCCAUUGGCCAGGAGCUGUUCCGGAAGGCCCCGGGCGAGCAUGGACAGAGAGCCUGGCUGGGCCUGGGGCGCAGGGCCCACAGAGAGGCCAGGAAGGCAGCACUCAGGCUGGGAUGACCCCUUAGCCUGGAGGAGGAAGUAGGAGCAAGCAGCCUGGGACACCUCCUAAUUUUCUAUGCACAUAAAAUUUCCGCAUGCUCUGAGAAUAAGCUUCAAGGGAGAUAAUAAAAUGAGGCUCCCUGCAAACUUCUACCACUCUAAGUGUAAAAUCGCCUGAUUACCGCAGCCAGCUUCUUGCUGCUCUCCCUGUAAUCCAGUUCUGGCUGCGAUUACACAGCGCUGCGCCUCACGCUGGUGCCAAGCGUCAAACAAACAGAUACCGACGAUUCAGUGUGAUUUGGCGCGUGGGAGGAGUCCCAGGAGCUCAGUCACAAAGGGAAGCCUUCCAUAGGCGGGCAGAGAAAGUAAAUGCAGAGAGUUAAACGUUAAAAUAACAGACACAAAAGUAAACACCUCCCCCCAACACACACACACACACAAAACGGAGUGCUAAAUGUGGUAUUCACUGGCAUUGAAUUUGAAAGAAAAAUAAAAUGCCAAGUAACGUUGGGUUAUGAUGUUAUUUGAACUAAAUCUUUAAUGAAACCUUGAUACAUAGUCCACAGGUGAAUUGAACAUGCACCUAAAGCCAUUUGCUCCCUGAUCCCAGGCUGCUCAGCCAGCAUCAUUCCCAAAAACACAAGCACGUUGGCGCCUCUGACUUCACUCACUCUCUGUGAUGCCUUCUCCUCUUCUCUCUGUCCUGAAAUUUCUUACUCAUUCAACAAUGUUCAGCCCAAAUUUUACCUUUUCUGAGUGUGUGCCACUCAUGUUCUCCCAUGAAAUGAAUUAAUUGCUCGUCUCUGCCUCCAUGGACAUAUACACAUACAGAUGUAGAUAUGGAGACAGACAUAUACAUAUAGAUAUUUAAUUUUAAAUUCUCAAAAAGUUCACUGAUAUACUUUCUGGGUCCAGCAACAUGUUUGAAAAAAUAGUAGUUAAUGAAUAAUUUCAAUUAAGCUGAUUCCAUUGGGGACGGUCACUUGAUCACAUUAAGUAGUACAAAAAAGUAUGAAUGAAAUA